GCCCCAGAGAGACCCCAGGGGGGUUUGGGGGACCCCAGGGGGGGCCGUGCUGACGCGGAUCCCCCCCAGAUCAUCACGUCGGAGGAGGCGGAGCGGCGGGGGCAGGUGUACGACCGGCAGGGCGCCACGUACCUCUUCGACCUGGACUAUGUGGAGGACGUCUACACCGUGGACGCCGCGCACUACGGCAAUAUCUCCCACUUCGUUAACCACAGCUGCGACCCCAACCUGCAGGUGUACAACGUCUUCAUCGAGAACCUGGACGAGCGCCUGCCGCGCAUCGCCCUGUUCGCCACGCGCCCCAUCCGCGCCGGCGAGGAGCUCACCUUCGACUACAACAUGCACGUGGACCCGGUGGACGCCGAGAGCACCCGCAUGGACUCCAACUUCGGGCUGGCGGGGGGGGGCCUGGGGGGCUCCCCCCGCUCCCGGGGCCGCAUCGAGUGCAAGUGCGGGGCCGCCGCGUGCCGCAAGUACCUUUUCUGACCCAAAACCCACAGCGGGGGUGCAAAACAAGGCUUGUUGAACGCAGCUGGGGGGUCCGUGCCUUGCCGGGGAGGGGGGGGGGGGGGGGGGACCGCUUGGGGUGGGGUGGGGGGGGGAUUUUGGGGGAAAUCGGGGGGGUUUCAGGCGUGCUGGCGGCGCCAGACGAUGACGGUGCCGGUGGCGUCGCUGGAGGCCAGCAGGCUCUCGUCGCAGUUGAAGGCCACGGCCAGCACGGCGCCGCCGUGGCCCUGCAGGGUGUUGACCGUGGCCCGGGCCGAGCGCCCCACGUCGAAGAAAUGCACGCAGGCGUCCUCGCUGCCCGUCACUGA
rnacentral:lncRNA from 1 species